AGCGAACGCUGGCGGCAGGCUUAACACAUGCAAGUCGAGCGGGCGUAGCAAUACGUCAGCGGCAGACGGGUGAGUAACGCGUGGGAACGUGCCCUUUGGUUCGGAACAACACAGGGAAACUUGUGCUAAUACCGGAUAAGCCCUUACGGGGAAAGAUUUAUCGCCGAAGGAUCGGCCCACGUCUGAUUAGCUUGUUGGUGAGGUAUCGGCUCACCAAGGCUACGAUCAGUAGCUGGUCUGAGAGGAUGAUCAGCCACACUGGGACUGAGACACGGCCCAGACUCCUACGGGAGGCAGCAGUGGGGAAUAUUGGACAAUGGGGGCAACCCUGAUCCAGCCAUGCCGCGUGAGUGAUGAAGGCCCUAGGGUUGUAAAGCUCUUUCGGCGGGGAAGAUAAUGACGGUACCCGCAUAAGAAGCCCCGGCUAACUUCGUGCCAGCCGCCGCCGUAA
rnacentral:rRNA from 1 species